rnacentral:rRNA from 1 species
UACAGGACAGUGGCGGAUGGGUGAGUAACGCGUAAGAAACCUGCCUUUCACACCGGGAUAGCAGCUGGAAACGGCUAUUAAUACCGGAUGACACUUUUUCCCCGCAUGAGGAAGAGGUUAAAGAAUUUCGGUGAAAGAUGGUCUUGCGUCUGAUUAGCUAGUUGGUGGGGUAACGGCCUACCAAGGCGGCGAUCAGUAGCCGGCCUGAGAGGGUGUACGGCCACAUUGGGACUGAGACACGGCCCAA